GCUCUCUAUGGCUCGUGCAACGCAGUAGAGUGAUAUCUCGAUCCGCCUACUUUUCUUCUCAAUUGCCAAUGCCAGACCCGUUGGGAACUGCCCAAUGAGACAUGCUAAGUAAGGAACAAUCAGAGAACACUGAUAAAAUGUAUUUUGCAGGAAAUUAUGAUAAGUAAUUACUAGCAGCUUCGAAACCAACAAUCCUGAUGCCCCAACAAUCAAACUGAGCAUUGAAACAAAAGAAGACAUUCAAAGUGAACCGCCAUAAUAGAAGCAUAGAACCAAUAAUAAAGAAAUCACAGACAAAACAAUUCCUGCAAGAGAAUCUAGUUUGUUUCAGCAGUCAAGCAAAUUGCUUAUAUGAGCACUCUGAGCAUCUUAUGGCAAUGAGAACAAUUGCAAAAGAGAUCUGCUCUCAAGGAUUUCGGAGACUGCAAGGAUGAUGAAGUGCAAUAUAUAGAUUUUGGAAUGGAGAACUCCGGAUUAUAACUACAUGAUUAUUAAACUGUCAAAAAUGCAUUAACUAUGUGCUUUUACAUUUAUGAGUCAACACAUAUUUCAAACAACAAUAAUAAAUGAUCAGGUUCUCAAAUUUGUAGAAGUUGGAAGGCAGUGUCAGGCGGAAAAACAGACCAACUAAAGUCAAGGAGCAAAAAAAAAAAUGCAAAGUUGCACAUUCAUGUUCUAUUGCUUAUGUUUUCAAAUAUUUUCAUACUCUCCCCUAAUUCCAAUUUCGUACUUCCUUUUCGUAAUUGCUAAUAAAGCAGCAUUAAUGAGAGUUUUUGGCCAAAAAAUGAGCUUUAUGAGAUAUAAAAGGA